rnacentral:other from 1 species
UUAUCCCUGCGGCUCUCGAGAGAGUACGCCCCUAUUUAAACCAACACAUUUUUUAAGGGAAAUCCUGAAUUAUCUGUGGCGUGCAAGCCUGCUGCGGGUAGGAAGCCCAGGAGCAGAUAGAGGAUUGCCCACCUGCGAGAGCAGGUUUGAAUAAGCGUACAAGACGGUUCAUGCGGGGUAAGU